AUUGAACGCUGGCGGCAGGCCUAACACAUGCAAGUCGAGCGGAUGAAGGGAGCUUGCUCCUGGAUUCAGCGGCGGACGGGUGAGUAAUGCCUAGGAAUCUGCCUUGUCGUGGGGGAUAACGUCCGUACACGGGCGCUAAUACCGCAUCCGUCCUGAUGGAGAACGUGGGGGAUCUUCGGACCUCACGCUAUCAGAUGAGCCUAGGUCGGAUUAGCUAGUUGGUUUGGUAAAGGCCUACCAAGGCGACGAUCCGUAACUGGUCUGAGAGGAUGAUCAGUCACACUGGAACUGAGACACGGUCCAGACUCCUACGGGAGGCAGCAGUGGGGAAUCUUGGACAAUGGGCGAAAGCCUGAUCCAGCAAUGCCGCGUGAGUGAAGAAGGUCUUCGGAUUGUAAAGCACUUUUAGUUGGGAGGAAGGGAAGUAAGUUAAUACCUUGCUGUUUUGACGUUACCAACAGAAUAAGCACCGGCUAACUUCGUG
rnacentral:rRNA from 1 species